GAUGAACGCUGGCGGCGUGCUUAACACAUGCAAGUCGAACGAGAAAUGGAGACGGAAACCUUCGGGCGGAAGGCUUCAUUUCGAGUGGCGGACGGGUGAGUAACGCGUGGGUAACCUGCCUCAUACAGGGGGAUAACAGUUGGAAACGACUGUUAAUACCGCAUAAGACCACAGCACCGCAUGGUGCGGGGGUAAAAACUCCGGUGGUAUGAGAUGGACCCGCGUUCGAUUAGCCAGUUGGCGGGGUAACGGCCCACCAAAGCGACGAUCGAUAGCCGAUCUGAGAGGGUGACCGGCCACAUUGGGACUGAGACACGGCCCAAACUCCUACGGGAGGCAGCAGUGGGGAAUAUUGCACAAUGGGGGAAACCCUGAUGCAGCGACGCCGCGUGAGUGAAGAAGUACUUCGGUAUGUAAAGCUCUAUCAGCAGGGAAGAAAAUGACGGUACCUGAGUAAGAAGCCCCGGCUAACUACGUG
rnacentral:rRNA from 1 species